rnacentral:rRNA from 1 species
GUCGAGAAUCUUCCGCAAUGCGCGAAAGCGUGACGGAGCGACACCGCGUGAUGGAUGAAGUCCUUCGGGGCGUAAACAUCUUUUAUAAAGGAGGAAAUUUUUGACGUUACUUUAUGAAUAAGGGGCUCCCAAUCUCGUGCCAGCAGGAGCGGUAAUACGAGAGCCUCAAGCGUUAUCCGGAAUCAUUGGGCGUAAAGGGUGCGUAGGUGGUUUGAUUAGUCUCCCGUUAAAACUUCGAGCUUAACUCGAAAAGAGCGGGGGAAACGGUCAAACUAGAGUAGGUGAGAGGUGUGUGGAACUCAUGGUGUAGGGGUGAAAUCCGUUGAUAUCAUGGGGAACACCAAAAGCGAAGGCAGCACACUGGCACAUCACUGACACUGAGGCACGAAACCUAAGGUAGCGAAUGGGAUUAGAUACCCGGGUAGUCC